rnacentral:rRNA from 1 species
GUUGAUAAGGUUAAGUGAAUAAGGGCGCACGGUGGAUGCCUUGGCACUAGGAGCCGAUGAAGGACGGGACUAACACCGAUAUGCUUUGGGGAGCUGUAAGUAAGCUAUGAUCCAGAGAUUUCCGAAUGGGGGAACCCAAUAUCUUUUAUAGGAUAUUACUUUUCAGUGAAUACAUAGCUGAUUAGAGGUAGACGCAGAGAACUGAAACAUCUUAGUACCUGCAGGAAGAGAAAGAAAAUUCGAUUCCCUGAGUAGCGGCGAGCGAAACGGGAAGAGCCCAAACCAACAAGCUUGCUUGUUGGGGUUGUAGGACUCCAAUAUGGUAGUCUGUUAGUAUAGUUGAAGGAUUUGGAAAAUUCCGCUAAAGAGGGUGAAAGCCCCGUAGACGAAAUGCUGACAACACCUAGGAGGAUCCUGAGUACGGCGGAACACGAGAAAUUCCGUCGGAAUCCGCGGGGACCAUCCCGCAAGGCUAAAUACUCCCUAGUGACCGAUAGUGAACCAGUACCGUGAGGGAAAGGUGAAAAGCACCCCGGAAGGGGAGUGAAAUAGAUCCUGAAACCGUGUGCCUACAACAAGUCAAAGCUCGUUAAUGAGUGAUGGCGUGCCUUUUGUAGAAUGAACCGGCGAGUUACGAUUGCAUGCGAGGUUAAGUCGAAGAGACGGAGCCGCAGCGAAAGCGAGUCUGAAUAGGGCGAAUGAGUAUGUAGUCGUAGACCCGAAACCAUGUGAUCUACCCAUGUCCAGGUUGAAGGUGCGGUAAAACGCACUGGAGGACCGAACCCACGUACGUUGAAAAGUGCGGGGAUGAGGUGUGGGUAGCGGAGAAAUUCCAAACGAACUUGGAGAUAGCUGGUUCUCUCCGAAAUAGCUUUAGGGCUAGCCUCGGAAUUGAGAAUGAUGGAGGUAGAGCACUGUUUGGACUAGGGGCCCAUCUCGGGUUACCGAAUUCAGAUAAACUCCGAAUGCCAUUCAUUUAUAUCCGGGAGUCAGACUGCGAGUGAUAAGAUCCGUAGUCGAAAGGGAAACAGCCCAGACCACCAGCUAAGGUCCCAAAAUAUAUGUUAAGUGGAAAAGGAUGUGGGGUUGCACAGACAACUAGGAUGUUGGCUUAGAAGCAGCCACCAUUUAAAGAGUGCGUAAUAGCUCACUAGUCGAGUGACCCUGCGCCGAAAAUGUAC